rnacentral:rRNA from 1 species
UACGUAGGGGGCAAGCGUUGUCCGGAUUUAUUGGGCGUAAAGAGCGUGUAGGCGGUCUGGUAGGUCCGUUGUGAAAACUCGAGGCUCAACCUCGAGACGGCGAUGGAAACCCUCAGACUAGAGUCCGGAAGAGGAGAGUGGAAUUCCUGGUGUAGCGGUGAAAUGCGCAGAUAUCAGGAAGAACACCCGUGGCUAAGGCGGCUCACUAGUACGGUACUGACGCUGAGACGCGAAAGCGUGGGGAGCGAACAGG